ACGGAGGGUGCAAGCGUUAUUCGGAAUUACUGGGCGUAAAGCGCACGUAGGCCGCUUUGUAAGUCAGGGGUGAAAUCCCACGGCUCAACCGCGGAACUGCCCUUGAAACUGCGAAGCUUGAAUCCUGGAGAGGGUGGCGGAAUUCCUGGUGGAGGGGUGAAAUGCGUAGAGAUCAGAAGGAACACCGGUGGCGAAGGCGGCCCCCUGGACAGGUAUUGACGCUCAGAUGCGAAAGUGUGGGGAGCAAACAG
rnacentral:rRNA from 1 species